rnacentral:rRNA from 1 species
GUGUCAGCCGCCGCGGUAAUACGGAGGGGGCCAGCGUUGUUCGGAAUCAUUGGGCGUAAAGGGCGCGUAGGCGGCUUGGUAAGUCCGUUGUGAAAUCCCUCGGCUCAACCGAGGAACUGCGACGGAUACUGCUUGGCUUGAGUCCCGGAGAGGGUAGCGGAAUUCCCAGUGUAGCGGUGAAAUGCGUAGAUAUUGGGAGGAACAUCGGUGGCGAAGGCGGCUACCUGGACGGGUACUGACGCUGAUGCGCGAAAGCUAGGGGAGCAAACAGGAUUAGAAACCCCCGUAGUCC